rnacentral:tRNA from 1 species
GCGGAAUUAGCUCAGAUGGUUAGAGUACAAGCAUGACACGCUUGGGGUCACUAGUUCGAUUCUAGUAUUCCGCA